UUUAAAGGCUCCGAGAUAUUCGGAUUUGUUUACUAAGUUUUCGUUCUUGUAAAUUGUAAAGAGUCUUCUAAAGCAAAGCUUUUAAGCUUAAAGAAUUUGAGAGAUCAUUUUAUUGAUAACAGUGAAAGUUACUCGAAAGCUUCUUUUAACUAAGUGCAAAUUCACAAAAAUCAUUAUGAAUCUAAGUAGGCAUUUGGCCAUAGAAACCUAAAAAAAAUUCACUUUUUUUGAAAUUUUGGAGUUGGAGUUGGAAUUGUUUUGGCCAAUAUAAUUUUUGCAAAUAAUAUUUUUUGAUGAAAUGUAAUUGUUUUGGUUGAGAUAAAGUACAACUUCAAGUUGUAUUUGAAAUUCUCAUGGCCAAACACUAAUUUUUUUUAAAAAUGAAAAAAAAUUUCAAAAAAAAGUAAAUAAUUCUUAUGGCCAAAUGGGUCCUAAGAAAUUUUCAAUUUUGAGUUUGACUAAUCAACUAAAAAAUUUAGUUUUAUACCAUGUUACUUGGAACUUUUAAAAAUAUUAUUAUGUGUGUGUCGAAUCCUCUACAAGUUAUGCAUUUGUUGAGGAUUUGACAAGGGUAAUACGACAUCUUUGAAGGGCUCGAGUAUACUGUAAGACAACAUAACAAUUUUUAAACAAAUAGGUUGUGAGAGGUUACUCUUAUUA